GGAUGCUCCAGGCAAGAAUACUGGAGUGGGUUGCCAUGCCUCCCUCCAGGGGAUCUUCUGACCCAGGGAUCAAACCCAAGUCUCUUGCAUCUCCUGCACUGGUAGGCAGAUUCUUUACCACUAGCAGACACCUCGAAAGCCCAACCUUAUCUAACAAAAGCUUAUGAGGCUCUUCUUACCUAACAUAAUACCCGUCCUAUACAUAAUGUGGUACCAGGGAGGGAAGAGAUGCCUUAGAAGUUACUAAGCAGCUGUAAUAGAUGGUGUCACCUGCAUUCAUUUAAAAGCUCCCAAAUGGAUGUGGUACCCAUAUUCCCCUGUCCCAGAGGAGCAAAGAGUUCAACUGAGGUUUUAAGGAAUGCCAGUUAGGAUGAGCCCAGACUACUCACCUUUCAGGCAGCAUAAUGUGCCCUUUUCCAGGGACAGACAACAAGAACCGUGAGUUGACCGCACUUUUGCACCAUUUGGGGCAUUUGCCCCAAAUCCACCCUCCCUCCCUCUACCCACCGCCCCCCCCCCCAUCCUCUCCUUCCCUCCAGCAGUUGUUUGUUCAGUAUCCGUGGUUUAUCUAACACUGACCACUCCUCUUCCUCUCUUGUCUUGAGCGGCUCCUGACCCUGGAUUCCAUCUCCCGCUCCUCAUGCCGCAUCUUUCCUUUGGACUUGAUGAUGCUGCUUGGUCAUCUGGCUUGGACUAUAGCCAUCUCCCUCACAAGAUUUGAUGUUGGACCAAACCGCUGACCUUUCUCCUGCAGAUUGAACAGGAUGGACAGCAAGGUGUGUCUGUGGGGACGUCACCGGACCUCUCCGAGUCCCAUGCCCGUCACCUGUAAAAGGGAAGUCACAUUUCAUUCAUUGAUUCUGCCAGCAUGUUGAAAGCGUGAAGAGCUGUGCCCGGGCUGGAGCACAUGGCCCCUGCAUGCAGCUCCCCGCCCCAUGCAGUGUGUGCGCUCCCGUGUCACAUGUUCUCCUCCCGUCCCUGCCCUUGAGCGUAAGUGGUGCUGUCCGUUUUCCCUCCAGCAAGGAAUCUCCCCACUGGCCUCCUCCUCCUCACAUCUUCCCUCCCCUGGUCUCCCAGGCUCGCUGGGAACCUUGGUCUCCCCCAGAGACCCUCCCAGGGGUGUUGCUUCCUUCUUCUCACCACCCAAGUCUUGCAGUUGUAGCCAGAGGCCGCCUAGCCUGGCCUCAGUUUCCCCAUCUGCAAAUUGAAGCAAGGAGGACAAUACCAAGCUUUUUGCCCACUGGGGCGAGAGAAAAUCUGUCUCCCCCUCUCCCUGCAGUCCUGACCCCAUCACAUGUAUCCUUCCAGGCCCUUGAGCCUCACUUGUAAUUUGGGGGCCAGGUUUUAUUUUCUUUUCCCGCAGAUCUAAGGCAUCUCCCAGGUUCAAUCCCUGGGUCGGGAAGAUUCCCUAGAGAAGGAAAUGGCAACCCACUCCAGUGUUCUUGCCUGGAGAAUCUCAUGGACGGAGGAGCCUGGUAAACUACAGUCCAUGGGGUGGCAGAGAGUCGGAUUUAAGGUAUCUCCCAGCUUGUGUGUUUUUUCACCAUGAUACAAUGAGCGUCCGCUAGCUUGGUGGGGGCUGAGCCGCAUCCCCGGCACACGUCCCUGGUGUCAGCAGGAGCUGCUGGCGGCUGCCUGGAGGGGAGGAAGGUGGGCCCGCUUAGAUGUGUCCCUGCUGUGGCCUCGACUGUCCCCCGACCUCUGCUGAGAGUCAAGUGGGGAGGUGCUCUGGGCACCAAGCCUGGUGUGCUGUUCCCACCUGUGGGAUCGGAGGCGGUUGAUCUCCAUUCAUGCCAGGGUUUGUGUCCUGAGAGCAUGGCUUGCGGUUUGAAUGUCAGAAUGAAAGAACUGAACCAGUGUUCCUGGCCAAGUCCACCAGUGCGGUAACUUUGGUUACCUGCAGAGAAGGGUUAUAAAAACCCUGCAGAGAAGCAUCUAGAAAAUGCUCCUCCUGCUCCUAAGAGUCACCCCAAACAGCUCAUUUCAAAAUACAAGGAUCACAGGGCCCCGCCCAUCAGGGGAGCUGGUGCAGGGCCACCCUGGGUCUGCCGGAGCUCGCCCCCCACCCCAGAGCCCACUUGGUGCUCACUUGCCCCCAAACACUGGCUGCCAGGACCCCCGGGAGAAGCUCGGUUGGGUCUGGUCUGUUGUUGAGACCAGCCCGUUUCCUUCCCAGCAGGGAGAGCCAGGCUGAGGCUCUCAGGUCAGGAACCGUGAAGCGAGAACUGAUCAGGGUGAGAGGUAGAGAGCCGGAGCACAUCUCCCAAAUCCAGGACUGGGGGGUAUCCACCUCCAGCAGCAGGGCUGCAGGGGAGCCCUGAGACUCCGGGGCUGCACAGAAUGGCCACCCAGCCCUGGGGGAUGCAAACGACACUUUCUCUGGGUUGGCGCUCUGGGGCGUUUAUGAAUGAGCAGUACCUUCUUAAAAUGUCACAUAAAGAGGAUAAACUGGAAGAGCCAUUCGUGGACCAGUGGUGGCUGGUAUUGGGAUUGAAGACUGUUAUCAGUCCAAUUCUGUGUGUCCCUGGAUAUAAGGAUGACGACAGUGAUGCUAAUAGUAGUGCUACCUCGAUGGGCGGAAGGCUGAGGGCGCUGAUCGGCUCAGCCAGUCACAUGGACCCCUGUGUUUACCUUGAGGAACAUCCAGGCUGGCUGAAACUCUCCACCCUCCCCUCUGCCAUUUUCCAGCCUGAGUUUCUCGUCCUUCCCCCAUUCACACCCAGACCCCUGAGUGCAACACCCCUGAGUUUCAUGCCGUAGCUGCUCGUUUCUCAUUGGAUUAGAAGCAUCCCAAAGGUGGGAGUGGCUCAGCUCCAGCUCCGUGUCCCCAGGGCUGGCCUUGCCCUUCCCAGCACCCCUUGUGGGGAUGGGCGCUGCGGUGUGGUCAGACAUGCGCUCACACAGGUGGACUUGGUUUUGUGACUCAGCCCUCUUGUCUUGGAAGGUUGUCUGCCCGGAGCCCGUGGAGGUGCGGUUGGCGAAGCACAAGACUUCCCCUGGGUGAUUCCGAUGGGUGGAUCCCUUCCUUCACUGGGUGAGUCCUGCUUUUCUGGGUUACACUGUAAGAGGCAUGUGUGCCUGUGACUAAGGGUCAGGCAUGGUCUAGAAAAGGUAAAGACUAGAGGUGAUCCUAGGAGAGCUGGGGCAUACAUCCAGUUCUCAGAGGGGCCCGAAGGCACGCCCUGCCCACCUGGAGCAGUGGCAGGUAACGGUGGGGCCAUUUCUGGCAGCUGCUUCUCUGCGUGGAGGGUGAAGCCAUUCAGAAGUUACCCAGGGCAAAGAGGUGAGGUCAGCAGGGGCCCGACCCUAGACACCUGGCCUUCAUCUCUGUUCCCACCCAAUUGGUCACUUUGCAGCUGACUGGACACCAGAGUCCUUUUUAGGACUCAGACUUACCUUCAUACCCUUGCCCCCCACUGAAUCUCUUUUACAAAGUAUGCAGAUAAUUUCAUUUCUGUAGUGGAGAAUGAAGAAGGGGGAGUCAUGUAAGCUUUUCCUAGAAAAGACACUAAGCUGAGAAGUAAAACUUAUUACAUGUAAUAAUUCUAGAAAAAGAAACACUUUUAUUGUAAAACACUGGACAGAACAAGAGGAAGAACAGGACUCACCCUAGUCUCAUCACUCAAAGAUGACCACUGCCAGCAUUUUGAAGACCAGCUUCUGGUCUUUUGGUUUCACCUAUAAAUUGCAAAAGUGAGUGAGUGAGUGUGUGUGUGUGUGUGUGUGUGUACAUAUGUACAUAAAUUUUUAAUUGGGUUCAUCAUAGCCAUCCUAAUUUUUCACCUAAGUAUACAUCCUAAACAUUUCCUAUGCCAUUAAGUAAUUUCCUAUCUUAUAAUUUUUUUUACCUAGUAUCCUAGCAAAUGACUAUAUCAUAAUUGAUUUAAUUGACACACUCUUGUCAGAUAUUUACAUGAUUUUUAAAAGUUGGAUGAUAAAAGUUUCAGUGAAUAGCUUUGUUUUUUCAUCUGCACGCAUGUCUCUUAUUUGUACUCUUAAGAGUGGAGUGGCCAUGCCAAAAGGUGUGAGCAUUUUAUGGCCAAAUUGCCCCCCUUGAACUUUGUACCAAUUUACAUUCUCAGAAUUAAUUUAACAAGUGACUUUCUCUGGGAAUUAUCAAGGUUUUUAGCAUUCAUCAAUUUGUCAAAUUUCAUUCUUCUCAUUUUCAGUUCUUUUAUUACUGUGAUAAGAACAUUUCCCCAUAUCUUUAUUGGUUCUCUGUAGCUGAAUUGCCAGUUCAGUUUCUUUACUUUAUUCAGCUUUCAUUAAGUUUUAUUUUUGUCAAAGUCAUGCAUAUGCUUCAUUUUAAGAGUUGAAUAGCUUUACAAGAUUCUGUAGAAGCAUCUUUCUGCACUCCAAAUCCAUAUCCUACUCCACCUAAGCUACAGCUUUUUAGUCUUUUAAAUGGUUCUUUUGACAUUUACAACAAUUUUUCUAAGUAACAUUCUGAUUUUUCUAGUUCUCAAAAAAAAUUUUUUUUGACUUAGGCAUUAUCUUGAUUUUUCAGCCACAGAAAAUGAAGAUUUAACUCUUUCACCUUUGGCCUCAAGACACACAGGAAUACCUGUCUGUCCCCUUCUUUUAAUAUAUUUAGCUCAGUUUUGGUUUGAUCAGUAUUCAGUCUUUAUACAUUAUAACAGUGUAAAUAUUUGAGAGUACAACAACAGCACUAUGAUUGUUUACUUUUCCUUACAGCUUUUGUUUUCUCUGGAGUUGACAAUUGUUUUGGUUUUAUCUUUCUUUUUUCCUUCUCUCUUUGGUUGGUUAUUAAUGAACUUAUCCCAAAUUUAUCUCCAGCCUUUCAUGACAUCCAAACACAUUAGUGUUUUUUGUUUUUACUUAAUGUGUUUAUCUUUUUGAAGACAUCUCUUCCUGGAGCCUCCUUCCCUCUUUUGUUCCAGAUUGGUUCAUCUUUGGGCUUUCUCCCCUUAUUGUGGAAUCACUUCCUCAUUUCUUCCUGGGGAUUCUCCUUGGUCGGAUCCCUGGUUUUGUAAAUCCUGUGUUAUUCUCAUUUUUUGUUUAUUCCCUUGUAUAGCUAGAGAGCAUCCUCUAGCAGUUCCCUGGUAAAGGGUCCAUGGGAGGUAAAUUUUUGGAGAUCUUUCGCAUAAGAAAAGGAUAAUGACUGGUCCACACUGAUGAUGAUUUGGCUUGGUAUAGAAUUCUAGUUGGUACCUUUUUUCCCCUUCAGAUUUGAAAAGCAUACAUAAUUGUCUUCUAACUUCCAGUGAUAUUGAUCAGAAGUCUGAAGACUUCUGAUUCCCAACCCUUGUAUGUGAUCUUCUGUUACCCUCCCUUUCUGGAACUUAUAGUCUUUUCUCAUUGUGUUUUGAAUUUCAUGUGUGUGUAUUUUGAUGUGGAUCUACAUUCAUCCGUUUUGCCAGGCCCUUUUGAUCUGAAAGCCUAUGUCUUUCAGUUGUGGCCUUUUCUUGGACAAUUCCUUGGACAAUGGCCUCCCAUCUGUUUUCCCUUUCUUGAACUUAUAUUGUUUGUAUGUUGGAUCUCUUUGACAGGUUCUCUGCUUUUCAUGUAUUUUUCCUCUGAUAUUCAUAUCUUUCAUCUCUUUGUUCUCACUGAGCAAUUACUCUGUCUUCAUCUUUCAGUCUAUUUUCACUUCUGCAAUCUCUGAUUUUCAAGAGUUUUUAUUACACUCUAAGUAUUAUUUUAUUGAAUUUUGUUUCAUGGAUGCAAUUGCUUCUUUGGUAUUUCUAAAAAUAUUAAUAAUAGUUUUUGAAAUUGUCUUUCUCUUAAAGAGUCUCCAAGCUUUUUUUUUUUUUUCUUUUUUUCCUUCUGUGUGUGUCAGUGUCUAACUUUCAUUUCAGAUUCUUUCUCAACUCUCUAUUUGUAUAGAUAGAUAUAUAGGUAUAGCUGAUAUUGAUACAUAUAUACAAUGCAUACAUCCAGAUAAACUAAAGAGCUAUUUGGAAGCUCUCAGUAUGUGGUUGGAUCUUGUAAACUAUGGCGUUUACUGUAGAGAGAGGUAAUUGGUCUUUGUAUUGCGGAACCCCAGGUUUCAGCAUUUUUAUGUCUUUUUCUUUUAGACUGAUUGGAUGAUCCAAAAGUUUCUGAUCUAGAAUUUUACUAGUUGCUGGCGCUCUGUGAGGUUUGUGAAGGAAGACUGAGUGGUCUCAACAUCCGACUUACAAAGCUUUGCCUUCUUUCUCUUUUGAAUUUAGGGCUCUUGCCCUCAGCAGUGCGUGCAUCUCUGCUCUAGUCACCUCUGCGUUGCUCUCUGCAUGUAAUACCUCUUCAGGCUUCUCUCAGGGGUAGGGAAGGCUUUGCCUAAUGGGUGAAGAUUGGGGGCUCUGUCUCUUCUUUAACAGACUUUUAGUCAAUUGAUCUUAUUUAGGCCUAGACUUUCCUGGAGGUUCCUGAAGACUUCUGUGGGCUCUGUUGAAUACACUGGCCUUUAUUUCAGGUCUCCUCACUGCCGGUCCAGGGUUUCCACUCUGAAUCAGUUCCGAAUCUCCUACUGUCUUGUCUUUGUCCUGUGUACUCAUGCUCAAGAUCAAAAUCUCUUCACUUUCAUUUAGCGCAGCUUCAAGAGCAAAGGCUGGUGGAUAUCUAUAUGCUAUUCACUAUGCUGAACUGUAAAUUCAUUUACCCAUCUUUCUCUACUGUUGUAUCUUUUAUUUUUAUUUUAUUAAUACCUUUCAAAGUAAGAAUAGUAACUUUUUCCAUCCUAUAUUACCAAUAUCCUGCCCCCCCCCCCCCCAUUUUUCAUUUACCAUUCCAUUUUGUUCAUGGAGCAUUUAACUUUUUAUUUUAAAAUUUCAUUUUCUGAAAAAUCUUUCACUAAUUUUUUCUUAUAGUUACUUCUUACUUAGAAAGAAAUUCCCUACCCCAGGCUCGUAUAUUUAGUCAUUUUUAUUUUUUUCUAGUUCUUUUGUGAUUUCUUCUUUAUAUUGACUCUUUAAUCCUUUAACUGAAUCAUUGUAAGAAACAACUUUUGCUCCAUUUCCACAUGCUAGAUGUUAGAUAGCAUGUGGUAGAUUGAAUUUACCACAUGCUAGAUACUUUUAUAGUUUUUGUUUCUCAUUGUGGCUUUCUAAUAUGACAUUAAUUCGUCUACUCUUAUCCUAGUAUUGCUCUGUUAUACUAGAUCAUAUUGUUAAAAUAUGUAUUAUUAUUUGAUAGAAGUAGUCUUCCUUCACUCUUAUUUUUCAAGAUUUUCUUGAUUAGUCUCACCUGUUAUUUUUCCAGGCGAAUUUUAGUGAUAUUGUGAAGUUAAAAACAUUCCUUAUAGAUUUUAUGUGACAUUUUAUAAAAUUAUAAAUUAAAGAGAAUUGGUAUGUUUUGACACUUGGGCUUUGCAUCUUUUAUAGUUUACAAUAUACAGUCACAAUUUGUCAAAUUUGACAAAUUCAUAAUUUGUUAUUAAGUUUAUUUCAAGGAACUAAGUAUUGCUUCUGUUGUGAAUUUUUCUUGUAUUUUCUAACUGGUUAUACUGGUAUGUAGGGAAGAGAUUAUGUAUCUAUUGUUAUUGUCUAUCUCAUUGAAUUUUCUCAUAUGUUCUACAAGUUUUCAGUUGAAUGUUUUGGAAUUUCUAGGUAAAGUGUCAUACAUAUCUAUACAAUUAUAGAAAAAAAUUGAAAAUAUUUUAUCUGUUUUAUUUUUCUUUCUUGUCUUAUAGUAUUGUCUAGAUCUUCCAAAACAUUAAAUUGUUGAUAACAAAUCUUUGUCUCAUUUCUGGUUCAUGUAAAGUAUGAUAACAGGUACGUUUUAAGGCUGUAUGUUUUUUAUAAUGCUAAUUAAUUAUCUACUUCAUGUAUGUGUAAAUCAGGAAUGGAUUAGAAUUUUCUGAAAUACUUUUUUGAUAUCUGUAGAUAUACUUGUAUUGUUUUUCUCCAUUGAUCUGUUGAUGAAAUGAAUUAUAAUAAUGUUUCAUAACCUUGAAACAUUUUUGGAUCAAAUUCUACCUGGUUUUCAUUUAUUGUUCUUUUAAUAUACUUCAUGAUUUGGUCUGCUAGUAUUUGGAAUUAAAGUUUUGGUCAUUUGACAUCAAAGUUAUGCUAGCUUUGUAAAGUGAAUUAGGGAACAUUCCAUCUUUUUCUGUAUUCUGUACCAUAUAGACAUCAUUUAAAUGAUCUAUUUCAUGGAAAACUUGAAAAAACUUAGCUAUAUAACUCUCAUGGGAUAAUUCUGGCAACUUUUUCUAUUUCUUCUGUAUUGAUUGGAUACUUUAGAUUUCCUAAAUCUUUAGAUUGUUUGCUUCUUUUUCUAAUAUAGCUUAGUGUUUACAUGUGCAGGCACUGGAAUCGGACAACUUGGGUUCAAAUUCUUGCUCUCUCAUUUCUCAUGUGACCUCAGGAAAACUAUGUCUUCUCCCUAAUUCUUAGUUUGUGCACUUGUUAAAUGGAUAAUAAGAGCCUGAAGCCAAGAGGGCCACUGUAAGAAUUAAAGAGAUAAAGUAUCUCGCAUUGAGUAUGGCACAUAGUGAGUGCGCUGUGAUUCUUUUAAAGCUAAUAUUAAUCCUAGAAAAUAAUCUAUUUUUUGAGAUGUAAAUACUUCUUAAUGUAGAAUUAUAAGUAGUAUUUGUAUAAUAAAAUUUAUUUCUAUAUUGUCUUUAUCAUUCUUAAUUUUGGACAUGUGUACUUUAUCUCUUUUUUCAUUAGAUGAGCUUAUGGGAGUGUCUAUUUUAGAGAUUUUUCAAGGAAUCAUUUCUUGGAAUAAUUUGUCAAUUUAACUUUUUUGUGUGUGUGUUCAAAUUCACCAAUAUCUGCCUUUAUCCUUAUGGACUCCUGCCUUCUGGUUUCCUUAUUCUGUGGACCUGUUCAUAUGUCCUUUCUGUUAUUCUUCUUUAAUAAUGAAAGCAUUUCAUAAUAUGAAUUUGCCUCUAGUUGCAAUUUUGAUUGCAUGUGAUAAGUGUUAAUAUGUAGCCUUUUCAAAAUUUUAAAAUAUUUGUAAUUAUGCUUUAAAUUUCUUAUAAUUAAUGCUUUUCAUUUCUUCUUGUUCUUAGAAGAAAUGAUUAUCUGAAUAAAAUAUGCAAAAAUGGAGCUUACUUUUUAAA